rnacentral:rRNA from 1 species
GACGAACGCUGGCGGCGUGCUUAACACAUGCAAGUCGAACGGGCCCGCUCUCUUUUUUGGGGGUGGGUUGAGUGGCGAACGGGUGAGUAUCACGUGAGUAACCUGCCCCCUGCUCCUGGAUAACUGCUUGAAAGGGCGGCUAAUACGGGGUGUGCCGGCUGGUCCGCAUGGGCCUGGUCGGGAUAGUUUCAUCUUCGGGUGUUUCGGUGGGGGAUGGGCUCGCGGCCUAUCAGCUUGUUGGUGGGGUGAUGGCCCACCAAGGCGGUGACGGGUAGCCGGCCUGAGAGGGUGGGCGGCCACACUGGGACUGAGACACGGACCAGACUCCUGCGGGAGGCAGCAGUGGGGGGUAUUGCACAAUGGGCGGAAGCCUGAUGCAGCGACGUCGCGUGAGGGAUGGAGGCCUUCGGGUUGUGAACCUCUUUCUCCGGUGGUGAAGGCCCUGUCCGUUGCGGCGGGGUUGACGGUAGCCGGGUAUGAAGCGCCGGCUAACUACGUG